rnacentral:rRNA from 1 species
GAUGAACGCUAGCUACAGGCUAACACAUGCAAGUCGAGGGGAAACGGCAUUGAGUGCUUGCACUCUUUGGACGUCGACCGGCGCACGGGUGAGUAACGCGUAUCCAACCUUCCCAUUACUGUGGGAUAACCUGCCGAAAGGCAGACUAAUACCGCAUAGUCUUCGAUGACGGCAUCAGAUUUGAAGUAAAGAUUUAUCGGUAAUGGAUGGGGAUGCGUCUGAUUAGCUUGUUGGCGGGGUAACGGCCCACCAAGGCUACGAUCAGUAGGGGUUCUGAGAGGAAGGUCCCCCACAUUGGAACUGAGACACGGUCCAAACUCCUACGGGAGGCAGCAGUGAGGAAUAUUGGUCAAUGGACGGAAGUCUGAACCAGCCAAGUAGCGUGCAGGAUGACGGCCCUAUGGGUUGUAAACUGCUUUUGUAUGGGGAUAAAGUUAGGGACGUGUCCCUAUUUGCAGGUACCAUACGAAUAAGGACCGGCUAAUUCCGUGCCAGCAGCCGCGGUAAUACGGAAGGUCCAGGCGUUAUCCGGAUUUAUUGGGUUUAAAGGGAGCGUAGGCUGGAGAUUAAGUGUGUUGUGAAAUGUAGACGCUCAACGUCUGAAUUGCAGCGCAUACUGGUUUCCUUGAGUACGCACAACGUUGGCGGAAUUCGUCGUGUAGCGGUGAAAUGCUUAGAUAUGACGAAGAACUCCGAUUGCGAAGGCAGCUGACGGGAGCGCAACUGACGCUUAAGCUCGAAGGUGCGGGUAUCAAACAGG